GGUUCCAUAGUCUAGAGGUCAGUACAUUGGACUCAAAAUCCAAUAACCCGAGUUUAAAUCUCGGUUGAACCU
rnacentral:tRNA from 1 species